GACGAACGCUGGCGGCGUGCUUAACACAUGCAAGUCGAACGGAAAGGCCCUGCUUUUGUGGGGUGCUCGAGUGGCGAACGGGUGAGUAACACGUGAGUAACCUGCCCUUGACUUUGGGAUAACUUCAGGAAACUGGGGCUAAUACCGGAUAGGAGCUCCUGCUGCAUGGUGGGGGUUGGAAAGUUUCGGCGGUUGGGGAUGGACUCGCGGCUUAUCAGCUUGUUGGUGGGGUAGUGGCUUACCAAGGCUUUGACGGGUAGCCGGCCUGAGAGGGUGACCGGCCCCAUAGGGAUUGGGGUAGGGCCAGGACUCCAACGGGAGGAAGCGGUGGGAAUAUUGCACAAUGGGCGGAAGCCUGAUGCAGCAACGCCGCGUGCGGGAUGACGGCCUUCGGGUUGUAAACCGCUUUCGCCUGUGACGAAGCGUGAGUGACGGUAAUGGGUAAAGAAGCACCGGCUAACUACGUG
rnacentral:rRNA from 1 species